AUUGAACGCUGGCGGCAUGCUUUACACAUGCAAGUCGAACGGUAACAGGCCUUCGGGUGCUGACGAGUGGCGAACGGGUGAGUAAUGCAUCGGAACGUACCCAGAGGUGGGGGAUAACGCAGCGAAAGCUGUGCUAAUACCGCAUGUGAUCUGAGGAUGAAAGCGGGGGACCGAGCAGCAAUGUUUGGCCUCGCGCCUUUGGAGCGGCCGAUGUCGGAGUAGCUAGUUGGUGGGGUAAAGGCCUACCAAGGCGACGAUCCGUAGCUGGUCUGAGAGCACGAUCAGCCACACUGGGACUUAGACACGGCCCAGACUCCUACGGGAGGCAGCAGUGGGGAAUUUUAGACAAUGGGCGCGAGCCUGAUCCAGCAAUGCCGCGUGCGGGAAGAAGGCCUUCGGGGUGUAAACCGCUUUUGGCAGUAGCGAAACGGUGUCCGCUAAUACCGGGCGCUAAUGACGGUACCUGCAGAAUAAGCACCGGCUAACUACGUG
rnacentral:rRNA from 1 species